rnacentral:rRNA from 1 species
GGACGGGUGAGUAACGCGUGGGUAACCUACCCCAAAGUCCGGGAUAAUAGCGGGAAACCGCUGCUAAUACCGGAUGCCUUUACCUUGGGGCAUCUUGAGGUAAAGAAAGGUAACGCUUUGGGAUGGGCCCGCGUCCCAUUAGCUAGUUGGUGAGGUAACGGCUCACCAAGGCGACGAUGGGUAGCCGGCCUGAGAGGGUGGACGGCCACACUGGGACUGAGACACGGCCCAGACUCCUACGGGAGGCAGCAGUAGGGAAUAUUGCGCAAUGGACGGAAGUCUGACGCAGCGACGCCGCGUGAGCGAUGAAGGUCUUCGGAUCGUAAAGCUCUGUCCUUGGGGAAGAAGGCGAAAGCUUGACGGUACCCAAGAAGAAAGCCCCGGCUAACUACGUGCCAGCAGCCGCGGUAAUACGUAGGGGGCGAGCGUUGUCCGGAAUUACUGGGCGUAAAG